rnacentral:rRNA from 1 species
UGAGUGCGAGCUGCUACGGCAGCGAAGUUGGUGAUGUCAUGCUUCCAAGAAAAGCCCUAUACCCGUUAAGGCAUCAUGGCCUGUACCCGAAACCGACACAGGUGGGGUGGUAGAGAAUACCGAGGGGCGCGAGGUAACUCUCUCUGAGGAACUCGGCAAAAUGGCCCCGUAACUUCGGGAGAAGGGGUGCCACCGCAAGGUGGUCGCAGUGAAGAGGCCCAGGCGACUGUUUACCAAAAACACAGGUCUCCGCUAAGUCGCAAGACGAUGUAUGGGGGCUGACGCCUGCCCAGUGCCGGAAGGUUAAGGAAGCUGGUCAGCGCAAGCGAAGCUAGCGACUGAAGCCCCGGUGAACGGCGGCCGUAACGAUAACGGUCCUAAGGUAGCGAAAUUCCUUGUCGGGUAAGUUCCGACCCGCACGAAAGGCGUAACGAUCUGGGCGCUGUCUCGGAGAGAGGCUCGGCGAAAUAGAAUUGUCUGUGAAGAUGCGGACUACGUGCACCCGGACAGAAAGACCCUAUGAAGCUUUACUGUAGCUUGGUAUUGUGCCCGGGCUCGCAAUGCGCAGGAUAGGUGGGAGGCUUUGAUCAUCGGCUUGCGGGUCGAUGUGAGCCAACGGUGAGAUACCACUCUUUGCGAGCUAGGGUCCUAACGGCCACCCGUCAUCCGGGGGCCGGACGGUACCUGGUGGGCAGUUUGACUGGGGCGGUCGCCUCCUAAAAGGUAACGGAGGCGCGCAAAGGUUUGCUCAGGCUGGUUGGAAAUCAGCCGACGAGUGUAAAAGCAGAAGCAAGCUUGACUGUGAGACCAACAAGUCGAACAGGGAGGAAACUCGGCUUUAGUGAUCCGACGGUUCUGAGUGGAAGGGCCGUCGCUCAACGGAUAAAAGUUACUCUAGGAUAACAGGCUGAUCUCCCCCAAGAGUUCACAUCGACGGGGAGGUUUGGCACCUCGAUGUCGGCUCAUCGCAACCUGGGGCUGAAGUCGGUCCCAAGGGUUGGGCUGUUCGCCCAUUAAAGCGGUACGCGAGCUGGGUUCAGAACGUCGUGAGACAGUUCGGUCCAUAUCCGGUGCACGCGCAGGAAUAUUGAGAGGAUUUCUCCCUAGUACGAGAGGACCGGGAGGAACGCACCUCUGGUGUGCCAGUUAUCGUGCCAACGGUAAACGCUGGGUAGCCAUGUGCGGAGUGGAUAACCGCUGAAAGCAUCUAAGUGGGAAGCCCACCUCAAGAUGAGUAUUCCCAUGGCGUAAGCCAGUAAGGUCACGGGAAGAACACCCGUUGAUAGGCUCUAUGUGGAAGCGCAGUAAUGCGUGAAGCAGAGGAGUACUAAUAGACCGAGGGCUUGACC